AGUGAACGCUGGCGGUAGGCCUAACACAUGCAAGUCGAACGGCAGCACAGUAAUAGCUCGUUCUUACGGGUGGCGAGUGGCGGAUGGGUGCGGAAUACAUCGGAAUUAACUUUUUCGAGGGGGAUAAAGUAGGCAAACAUACGCCAAAAGUGCAUACGACCUACGGGUGAAAGCAUGGGAUCUUCGGCCCUCGCGCGAUCGAAUGACGCGAUGUCGGAUUAGCUAGUUGGCGGGGUAAAGGCCCACCAAGGCGACGAUCCGUAGCUGGUCUGAGAGGAUGGUCAGCCACACUGGAACUGAGACACGGUCCAGACUCCUACGGGAGGCAGCAGUGGGGAAUAUUGGACAAUGGGCGCAAGCCUGAUCCAGCCAUACCGCGUGUGUGAAGAAGGCCUUCGGGUUGUAAAGCCCUUUUGUUGGGGAAGAAAAGCAGCAGGUUAAUACCCCGCUGUUCUGACGGUACCCAAAGAAUAAGCACCGGCUAACUUCGUG
rnacentral:rRNA from 1 species